rnacentral:rRNA from 1 species
GAUCAUGGCUCAGGACGAACGCUGGCGGCGUGCCUAACACAUGCAAGUCGAACGGAACUGUUUUGAAAGAUUUCUUCGGAAUGAAUUUGAUUUAGUUUAGUGGCGGACGGGUGAGUAACGCGUGAGUAACCUGCCUUCAAGAGGGGGAUAACAUUCUGAAAAGAAUGCUAAUACCGCAUGACAUAUCGGAACCACAUGGUUCUGAUAUCAAAGNUUUUAUCGCUUGAAGAUGGACUCGCGUCCG